rnacentral:rRNA from 1 species
CUUAGAGUAAUGUCUAAGUAUCAUUAAGUGAAUACAUAGCUUAAUGAGGGGAACUCAGGGAACUGAAACAUCUAAGUACCUGAAGGAAGAGAAAGAAAUUCGAUUCCGUAAGUAGCGGCGAGCGAACGCGGAUUAGCCCAAACCAAUAAAGUUUUCUUUAUUGGGGUUGCGGACAUAUCAUAACGAAGAGGUAUCGUAAUUGAAGAGGUUUGGAAAGACCCACCACAGAAGGUAAUAGUCCUGUAUGUUAAACGAAAAGACUUUAGAUAUGAUCCAGAGUACCACGGGACACGUGAAACCCUGUGGGAAGCAGGAGGGACCACCCUCCAAGGCUAAAUACUACCUAGUGACCGAUAGCGUAUAGUACCGUGAGGGAAAGGUGAAAAGAACCCCGGGAGGGGAGUGAAAUAGAACCUGAAACCCUGCACUUACAAGCUGUGGAAGCACAUUUCUUGUGUGACCGCGUACUUUUUGUAGAACGGGCCAACGAGUUACGUUAAGUAGCAAGGUUAAGCACUUAAGGUGCGGAGCCGUAGCGAAAGCGAGUUUUAACUGAGCGUUCAGUUACUUGACGUAGACCCGAAACCGGGCGACCUACCCAUGAGCAGGAUGAAGCGAAAGUAAAAUUUCGUGGAGGUCCGAACCCACGAGCGUUGAAAAGCUCGGGGAUGACUUGUGGGUAGCGGUGAAAUUCCAAUCGAGCCCGGAGAUAGCUGGUUCUCCCCGAAA